rnacentral:rRNA from 1 species
GAGUUUGAUCCUGGCUCAGGACGAACGCUGGCGGCGUGCUUAACACAUGCAAGUCGAACGGAAAGGCCCCGCUCGCGGGGUACUCGAGUGGCGAACGGGUGAGUAACACGUGGGUGAUCUGCCCUGCACUUCGGGAUAAGCCUGGGAAACUGGGUCUAAUACCGGAUAUGACCUCCCUUUAGUGUGGGGGGUGGAAAGAUUUAUCGGUGCAGGAUGAGCCCGCGGCCUAUCAGCUUGUUGGUGGGGUAAUGGCCUACCAAGGCGUCGACGGGUAGCUGGCCUGAGAGGGUGGACGGCCACAUUGGGACUGAGAUACGGCCCAGACUCCUACGGGAGGCAGCAGUGGGGAAUAUUGCACAAUGGGCGGAAGCCUGAUGCAGCGACGCCGCGUGGGGGAUGACGGCCUUCGGGUUGUAGACCUCUUUCGACAGGGACGAAGUGAAAAUGACGGUACCUGUAUAAGAAGCACCGGCUAACUACGUGCCAGCAGCCGCGGUAAUACGUAGGGUGCGAGCGUUGUCCGGAAUUACUGGGCGUAAAGAGCUCGUAGGUGGUUUGUCACGUCGUCUGGGAAAUUCCGGGGCUUAACCUCGGGCGUGCAGGCGAUACGGGCAAUACUUGAGUGCUGUAGGGGAGACUGGAAUUCCUGGUGUAGCGGUGAAAUGCGCAGAUAUCAGGAGGAACACCAAUGGCGAAGGCAGGUCUCUGGGCAGUUACUGACGCUGAGGAGCGAAAGCAUGGGUAGCGAACAGGAUUAGAUACCUGGUAGUCCAUGCCGUAAACGGUGGGCGCUAGGUGUAGGGGACUUCCACGUUCUCUGUGCCGUAGCUAACGCAUUAAGCGCCCCGCCUGGGGAGUACGGCCGCAAGGCUAAAACUCAAAGGAAUUGACGGGGGCCCGCACAAGCGGCGGAGCAUGUGGAUUAAUUCGAUGCAACGCGAAGAACCUUACCUGGGCUUGACAUACACCGGACCGGCGUAGAGAUACGUCUUCCCUUGUGGCCGGUGUACAGGUGGUGCAUGGUUGUCGUCAGCUCGUGUCGUGAGAUGUUGGGUUAAGUCCCGCAACGAGCGCAACCCUUGUCUUAUGUUGCCAGCACGUGAUGGUGGGGACUCAUGAGAGACUGCCGGGGUCAACUCGGAGGAAGGUGGGGAUGACGUCAAAUCAUCAUGCCCCUUAUGUCCAGGGCUUCACACAUGCUACAAUGGUCGGUACAGCAGGUCGCGAACUCGUGAGAGUAAGCCAAUCCUUCAAAGCCGGCCUCAGUUCGGAUUGGGGUCUGCAACUCGACCCCAUGAAGUCGGAGUCGCUAGUAAUCGCAGAUCAGCAACGCUGCGGUGAAUACGUUCCCGGGCCUUGUACACACCGCCCGUC